GGCUUAAUGAAACAUUUGGCUCCCCAAGAUGCAGGCUGAACCUCCGUGACCCGUGAUAGUUUGUAAUCGUCCUGGAAAAAACUUAGUCUCCCCCAUUAUGGGCUUAUUUAUGAGAAUAAGUUUGUGGCUUCUUCUUCACAAUGAGAGCUUCAAAACGGAAAGGCACUUGCAUGCCAGCAUAUUUGCCCAGCUGUGCAGUAAUUGUCUUAAAUGUGAACUGAUGGAAGAAAAACAAACAAUGAGAGACUUUGUCCUCAACCCCAGACACUGACAAUGAAACCAUCCAAAGCAAAAAUGACAUUGAGAGUGAAAAUAAAACCUAGCCCAACCUGAAUGAGUGUUCUGUUUGUUUUUGAAAUGAGAUAUUCUAUCUCAAAAACUGUUGAGGCUUACUCUGGUGUCUCCAGGUUAAGGCUUGAAAUAAAA
rnacentral:lncRNA from 10 species